GAUGAACGCUAGCGGCAGGCCUAAUACAUGCAAGUCGGACGGGAUUGAGAAGCUUGCUUUUCAUGAGAGUGGCGCACGGGUGCGUAACACGUAUGUAACCUACCUUAAUCAGGGGGAUAGCCUCUCGAAAGAGAGAUUAACACCGCAUAAAAUCAAUUUAUGGCAUCAUAGAAUGAUCAAAUAUUUAUAGGAUUAAGAUGGGCAUGCGGAACAUUAGCUAGUUGGUAAGGUAACGGCUUACCAAGGCUACGAUGUUUAGGGGAUCUGAGAGGAUGACCCCACACACUGGUACUGAGACACGGAACCGACUCCUACGGGAGGCAGCAGUAAGGAAUAUUGGUCAAUGGGCGCAAGCCUGAACCAGCCAUGCCGCGUGCAGGAAGACGGCCCUACGGGUUGUAAACGGCUUUUGUACCGGAAUAAACCUUUGUAUGUAUACGAAGCUGAAUGUACGGUAAGAAUAAGGAUCGGCUAACUCCGUGCCAGCCGCCGCCGUAA
rnacentral:rRNA from 1 species